rnacentral:rRNA from 1 species
GUGCCAGCAGCCGCGGUAAAACGUAGGACGCGAGCGUUAUCCGGAGUUACUGGGCGUAAAGCGCGGGCAGGCGGUCUGACAAGUCUGAUGUGAAAUCUCCGGGCUCAACCGGGAGAGGCCAUUGGAAACUGACAGGCUGGAGGGCAGUAGAGGUAGGCGGAAUUCCGGGUGGAGUGGUGAAAUGCGUAGAGAUCCGGAGGAACACCAGAGGCGAAGGCGGCCUACUGGGCUGCACCUGACGCUGAGCCGCGAAAGCCAGGGGAGCGAACGGGAUUAGAAACCCCCGUAGUCC